rnacentral:snRNA from 1 species
AUAAUGUAUAUAAAUGCUCUUCCUUGAUAGAGGAAGAGCAUUCCUCAGCAAAGCUAUAAAACUAGGUGCGCUCUCCUGCUAGAACCUCCAAACAAGCUCUCAAGGUCCAUAUGUAGGAGAAGGUAGAGUAGUCAAGCUUCCAAGAUUCCAGACACAUCCAAAUGAGGUGCUGCAUGUGGCAGUCUACCUUUCUUU